rnacentral:snRNA from 1 species
GUGCUCACUUUGGCAGCAUAUAUACUAAAAUUGGAAUGAUACAGAUAAGAUUAGCAAGGCCCAUGCAAGGAUGACAGGUAAAUUCAGAAGCAUUUCAUUAUUAA